CAGUUUUCGCAAUAAUCAUUUCACAUUGUUAUAUAAUUAGUGAGAUCAUUGUGAAAACUGAU
rnacentral:pre_miRNA from 1 species